UGUCUGUGGUGUCUUACAGGGAUCCUAUCAGAGAUAGACAUUAACCCAUCUGUCUGUGGUGUCUUACAGGGUGUCCGUGGGGUAACAGGACCGACAGGACAACAAGGGGACGUUGGACCCCGUGGUGCCGUUGUGAGUGAAUUAUUGCGCCUGGUCUCAACUGUGUUAUAAAUGUUUUAUGCUAUAUUAAUGUAUUGUGAUGUUUGUCUUCUUCAAUGACAUGUUCACAGAGAUGACAUUGGAUUGUAUCUUACUGUGCAGUACUGUACUGCUCCAUGAAGGUUUUGUAACAGUCAGUUCUCUGGUGUUAGUGUUGUUGAUGUACUACGUAUAGUUAUGUCUUGACCACUUUCCUUGUUCUUACUACUCUCUAUCUAGGGAUUGCUAGGUCUACCCGGGGCCCCAGGGUUAAAGGUAAUAGGUCACAGUGUGUGUGUGUGUGUGUGUGUGUGUGUGUGUGUGUGUGUGUGUGUGUGUGUGUGAGGGUAGCUCAGCUGUGCUGUAACUGAUGUUAUUUGCUGUAGGGUCAAGAGGGACGCAGCUCCAGUAUCCCUGGCUCUUGUGGUCCAAAGGGACACCAAGGGCCCCCUGGAGUCCCGGGACCCAAAGGGAUCAAGCUAUAUGCCCACGCUCCCUCCGAUUUGAAGGUAUGGUCACACCAAGUCUGACCUAGGUUUAAAUACUACACUGAACAAAAAAUAGAAAUGCAACAUAUUUCAAGAGCUGAAAUAAAAUAUCCCAGAAUUGUUCCAUAUGCACAAAAAAUGUAUUUCUCUUCAAUUGUUGUGCACAAAUGUGUUUACAUCCCUGAUAGUAAGCAUAGUGUAGCAUGUUGGGAUAA
rnacentral:lncRNA from 1 species